rnacentral:rRNA from 1 species
UAGGGAAUCUUCGGCAAUGGGGGGAACCCUGACCGAGCAACGCCGCGUGAGUGAAGAAGGUUUUCGGAUCGUAAAGCUCUGUUGUUAAGGAAGAACGAGUGUGAGAAUGGAAAGUUCAUGCUGUGACGGUACUUAACCAGAAAGGGACGGCUAACUACGUGCCAGCAGCCGCGGUAAUACGUAGGUCCCGAGCGUUGUCCGGAUUUAUUGGGCGUAAAGCGAGCGCAGGCGGUUAGAAAAGUCUGAAGUGAAAGGCAGUGGCUCAACCAUUGUAGGCUUUGGAAACUGUUUAACUUGAGUGCAGAAGGGGAGAGUGGAAUUCCAUGUGUAGCGGUGAAAUGCGUAGAUAUUGGGAGGAACACCAGUAGCGAAGGCGGCUUUCUGGACUGCAACUGACACUGAGGCACGAAAGCGUGGGUAGCAAACAGG